rnacentral:lncRNA from 1 species
CUAAAUCCUAAAACCUUAACCCUUGGGUAAACUUUAAACCCUUGGCUAAAUCCUAAACUCUAAAUCGAAAACACUAAUACACUAAUACACUCAAGGGUUUAGGGUUUUAGUGUUUAGUGUUUUUGAUUUAGAGUUUAUGAUUUAUCCAAGGGUUUAGGGUUUAGGAUUUAGGUUUUAGUUUAGGAUUUCAGAUUUAGGGUUUAGGGAUUAGGAUUUAGGGUUUAGUUUUUUCUGACAACGUUAAAACUUUUUUUUUUAAUAUUAUUUUUUCUGUAACUACUAUUUUUUUAUCUUUUUAUUUUAAAAACAU